GGAAUAUAAGAACCCGUCUCUUAAUUUUUAACUAAAAAAACUAAGAACCGGCUCUUAAAUAAGAGUUUUCUUAGCUUUUUUAGUUAAAAGUUAAGAGACGGGUUCUUAUAUUCC
rfam:Brassica napus, WGS project CCCW01000000 data, contig: 5730